rnacentral:miRNA from 1 species
UAUUAGGUUGGCCAAAAAGUUAGUUUGGAUUUUUCUGUACCACCUUAUGGGAAAUCCCAAAUGAACUUUUUGGCCAAUCCAAU